AUUAUAUUGAACCGCUGGAUCCGCUUGAUCCCCUCUUGAUCUUCAACGCUGAUAUGCUUUUCCAUUCUAAGCCUAAGUAAAGAACAUCACGUUUUUGUUAUUUUUGUUGAAUAAGAACUUCACAAGCGAAUGCUCCACUUUAGCAUGAGAACCAUUUUUUCUCCACUUUCCAUUCAAACACUUUAUUCAACUAAGAAUGUAACCGAAUUUGGGAACUAGACAAUAAAAAAAACUUUUUCUCUCUCCUCUAAAAAAAUGAUUUUUUGAAACAGAAAGCUAUACUAUUUCAUCUGGUGAUCGGCUCCGUUGUUGGUGCUGGAAUUUCUCCUCGCUGGUGCUACAUUGAUGGAAGAAAAAUCUUGGUCAUGAUUUUCCGACGUGUCGAGUGACAUAGUUUCUUUGGUUUAUAUUUGUUAUUAGGGAACAAGGCUAUUCGAUGGUUACACUAGUUGGUUCCAGUUGCUGCAGUGCCUAAUCGAGCCGACUUUGUAUCUAGUAGGUAGAUUGGACUUAUUCUUUUUCCUUUUUAAGUUAUGCCGUCUCCCCCUUGUAAUUUUAUAUGCUACUCUCAAUCCAUUAUUCAUGAAUUAUUCCAUAGUAUCUUGGGGUUUCAAGUUUGAUUCGUUGGACUUGGCAUCCUCUGCUUUGAUUCAAAUUUCUCCAUAUGUAUGGGAAAGAGCAGUAGUGACCGAAGAAGGUUUAACAUGAAUAGAUCUCUCAUAACGUCCUUUUUCCUUAGAUUCUAUGAACUUUAGUGCUGAUGGAGGUUGUAAUGGAUAAAGAGGAAUCAUAGUUUUCGGACUCUCGUUCUAGUGAGCUUCUAGUAUUUGAUGACCACAUAUGUCAGGUCCUGAGCUGCAGUUAGGCGGCUUGGCUAUAUAUCAUUUGGAUGUGUAGUCGGGUAGUUUUUGAUCAUUGCAUUUUUUUCCCCAAAGUAUCUAUUGUAAACCAAUAUUGAUUCCCUCUUUGGAUGAUUAAUAAAAAGUAAUGUUAAAACCCCCAAAAAGGUAAGCUAGACAUAGUAUAAGAUUGAUUGUGAGUUUAAGACCAACUAAGGAUUAUUAUUGUUUGACGUGGGUUUAGCCACCCCACUCGGCUUGGCUCAAGUUUUGAUUUGCAUAUUACUACUACUGAGUCUGGUCUAUUUGAUAAGAUCCAAGAACUAUUUUACCGACUGAUGGCCUUCAGAAACACACAAAAGAUAGAUUCAUUCUAGUCAAAAUGAGUUUUUUUUUUUGGAGAGAGAAACAAGAACUCUCAAUGAAUUUUGAUUCAUUGUAAAAACCAAAACUACAUCAUUUAAUCGAAAAAAAUCAGUUCUUUCUCACAAUCUUUGUUAUUUAGAUCAUCGUGCUACACUUAUAACAAUCAACCAAAACUAUGUAUUAAUGUUUUGAAUGAUAACAGCGAAUGGAACGGUACAUAUAAAGCGGAUACUAUAAUACGGUACACCUAAAGUGCGGUUGGUUAUAUAAAGAAGAACACAUACCGCGGAAUAUGAGUAGUUGAAAUAAAAAAUGUUCCAUCAUAAAGUUUGAAUGGUGAUAAAAGUAAUCGUGGUACGGAAUGAAUAUUUAAAUAAUAAAAUUUAAUUAAAUUAAAAUUUAUUAAAAUUCUUUUCCUAAAAGAAAAUUGUAUCAACCCAUAUAAAUAACAUUCACUUUUUUUCUUAAUUUUUUUUUGAGUUUUUGUAUAAUCGGAAUUUUUGCUUUCAGUCAAAAGUAAGACACACUUUCGAGGUCUUCCACAAAUUGCAGCCUUCACACCUAUAAUUUAUGAACAUUUAUUACCAUUUCUACCUGUAGUAUCCCUCCAUAAGAGUGAGGACGCAGACAAAGCCAAAGAAUGGUCGAAGAGAAAAUGCUCGAUGUAUGGCAACAAAAAAGGUCGAAGAAUGGCUGAAUGUGGAAAUUCGAGCCACAGUGAUUUUGAUAAGCGGCCUAAGUUAUAAUGGGUGAGUAAAUAUGGAUAAAGCAUUGGAAUGAGUUUGACACGAGGAAAUACUGCAUGAAGUCGAAUGGCCAGAAGAAUAUUAAAGUUUCAGAAAAUUCAAGAAGCACCGAGAAGCCAAAAAUAGAAAUAGAAGUGUUCGAGAAUGAGAAGCCAAAAUACAAAGGACAAAGGACUUAGACAAGUACUUUUUCUGGAGUACACAUUGAAUCGUUUAAGUUAUCAGUUACAUUGGUCGAGAAACGGCUUCUUCUAUAGUUUGGAGAAUGAUUGCAAAAUGCUAGAAUGGAAAGACCGAAAGUGAUGUCGAGAGAAUAACCAGAUAGCAUGUUAUCGAAGGCCAAAUGAUGUUAAGCUGCUUGAGAGAUGCUUCAGUUUUAAUUUUAGGUUUGUAAAAAGUAAUGAUACGAGAAGAUUCUCCGCGAAAUUUAAUGGAUAGGAUGCGCUCGCGGUUCGGCUUAUAUCGUUUUAGAAAUCUCAGAUUUUUUUUUAUCUAAGUUUUUAGGGUAUGAAUGACCUUAUUAGUAUGUUAAAAGUGUUAAGGUCUGGGAAAGAAAGGUUUUGGACAAUGAUAAACAUUUCCAUCAAUCCGGAUCAGACAACGAGAUGUUCAAAAUUAAAUAUGGCUCGUUCGAGUCGUUUACAGUGUGUCGAGUGUGUCCAGAAGCUGCUGGAGGAUGAAGGUGAUUGCUCUCCUCCUUAAACCAGCUUGAUAUGUGUCUCUUAUUUACUGGAACACGUCUAAAAGUUCUUGUUUAUUUCCUAUUGGUUGGUUUGGUGGCUUGCCACAAAUCUUUUUCUUUUUGGAUAGAAUUGCGGCUUGACACUAAACUAUCUCCCACUGGAUAUUUUGGGUGGCCAGGCCACCUCCUUCUUCCUACUCACGACCAUAAUCUCCCCUUAUUCAUUCUCCUCACCUCUAAAUAGACAUUCACCCCUUCGUUUAGUUCCCACACCAAAAUCGGACCAUAGGAACCUGCGAGCACCCGAGCCUUAAGUCCAGAGUCGUGCCGACCGCGAGAUAGAAGUGAUAGAGUCAAAUAAGUAUACCAUGCUAAGGCUACAUAACCCAAACACCCAGGUAACCAUAGGGAUAUCUUGGGUUGCGAAGGAGCAGUGUUGAUGGCGUAGUGUUUGUGUCUUUUGCAAAGGAAUAUGUAUUGUAAUAUGUAACUAGAUCUUGACCCGCGUAACCGCGCAUGUUUUUGUUUUCAUUUAUUUUUAUAUAAACAUUUUGUUUUCAAUUCUAAAUUGGUAUAUA